GCAUCUCGAGGCGUGUGCACCGCCGGACCUCCUGGAUGCUGGAGCAGGCUGCUUGUAGCUUGGGCUUUGAACUCUAGGAGACCAAGGUGGGACACUCAAGGCUCGUCCCUGAUGGCCCUUUGUCCCGUUCCCCCCUCCCCCCCAGGCCUCUGUUUCUCUGCCGCCUCCCCAGGGGCCUAGCUUCCUGGGUGGGUGAGUGCUCAUGGUGCUGCUGAGGAAGGUCUAGCAUUCGGGCUCAAGGAGCCCGCAGAGGUUUUUUGCUACUGCCUCUUAAGCACUGUCCCCACUCCCCACACACUGAGAUCCCCAGAAAGCUAUGUGGGCUGAGCUGGACCUGUGGACAGUCGUCCAGCACUGACAUGGGUUUGCCUGCUAACACGUGUUUCUCUUCUCACUGGUGCAGGAGCAAACAGCUCCCCGUGCAGCCAUGUCACACUGGCUGCUAGAUCCGCUCAUCACAACAGCCAAGCCACGUUUCCCUCUGAGGUGCUGAGUCUACCAGGGCCCCCGGGCCUCCCGCCAUUAACUCCCCAUCAGUACAGGUCUCUCCUGUACUGGCCUGACAGCCCCAUGAAGCAGAUAAUUAUCACCACAUCGCAAAGGUCCUGACUGAACCUGGCUGGAGCAGGGGCUGACCCUGCAAUGCCUGAUCCCAGAGAGCAGGGGCUCUGCGGCACCCUAGGACCCAGAAGCCAGCUUUCUUAGAAGGGAGGUGAGCCCUCCAUUGGCCCCCAUCUCCUCCACUUCCUCUUGUGAUGAGACUGUUUCUCCGGGGGUCAUGAGAUGAUCAAUGGCUGCUUCCAGCAGAGGCCAACAGACCAUAAGAAAGGUGGAAAGAGCCUGAGAUGAAGUGGGGAAUGGGCACCGGAGGCCCAGCUGGGUACCCUUCCCUCCAUCCGCUCUUUUCCCAAGGGCUGGGAGACAGCCAGUCAGGCCCGGACACAACCCCUAAUAAGCCAGCAUGGGGUGGGGAGGAGGAAACAAGAGACAGGCUUUGGGGGAAUCCAACCUCCACCUCCUCUGUUUAGAGGGCACAUCUUAGCCAGAGGCUGCCUUUUCUGAAGGUGUAAGAGCCAAUCCUCAAAGCCUUAACCAUGCUGUGGACACGCAGGUAACAGGCAGCGCUGACAGACGGAUGUGACCGCAGGGCCAGGAUGUGACCGCAGGGCCAGGCUGCCUGCCGUCAAACCCCUCCCUACCAGCAGGAGGGCCAAUGAACAGUGAGCCCCCGCACCCUCAUUUCUCAGCCUGGAAGUCAGAUGUGGGGAGCACAGCAGUCUCCCACAGUCCCUACAGGGCACUGGACACGCCAGAGCACAUGGGGCGUGGGCAGCUUUCACAGUCAGCCAAGCCUCUCAGAGCCUGUUUCCUGUCUGCAAAAUGGGUAAGGUACGAAGGGCCAUUCCCUUCCUUCUCCUGCGUUUGCAGUGGGCCCUGCCUGGCCCCCACCCUCCCCGCCAGCUCUGGCCUCAGGAUCACUGGGAGGAAGUGGGCCAGGCCAAGAGGGGAACAGGCCUAGUCUCCCUUUCAGUUCCGCUCCGGGCCUGGCGCUAGUCCCAGCACCAGUGAGUGCCGAGAUUAAGCAGCAAAGCCACUGGUUUCGCUCUGAAUGUGGGGCCCUCCGUGCCAGCGCCAUCCCCAGCUCCACCCCAGCAGCUGAGGAACUGCUGACCUGGCAGGCAGCGGUAGAGGACCCCCCCUCACCACGGCCGGCCCUGGCUCGCAUUCCCCUGCAGGGCGAGCGUGGCACAGGUCCUUCCCUGACUCCUCGCGGCAGCCCAUCUGCCCUGCCCAGAGCCACACAGCUCUAGAGGCAGAGCUGGGGUCUGAGCCCCAGCCUGCCCAAGGGUCAGAGCCAGUGUGUCUACCCUGCUGCCUGGUAGUGAGGAGGUGCCCGGGGCUCUGCCCAGAUUGGAGGGCCACUGAGAACAUGAGGACAGGACAACCCCACCUGUGGCCACAGUAUGGAGGGACCAGUGGAUGCCUUCCUGGUUGAGUGAUGUGAUGAGACAGAGCUGGGCUGUGUCAGCAGCUAUAGGACCACUUAGGGACUUCAGGUUCCCCUCUUCUCACACGCCCUCUAUUCCACCUGCCUUGCCAGGCCAGCAAGCAGCUACUCUCUGAACCCCCCUCCUAGUCACACUGUGCUCAGGUGAUCAAAAUGGCCAAACCACUCCAGAUAUUUGUGGUACAAAUAGAAUGUCACCCACCACAUCCUGCAGCACCCGCUACUGGGGAGCAAGUCUUCUCAGCUCCUAGCAUUUCAAAAGCUGGCUGCUUGCUUUUGGCUACUGUGACUCCAGUGGGAAUAAUCUAUUUGUUUCUUAGCUGGUUUUUGAGCUUCCUAGCAGCCAGAGCAGAGACUCUCCUCACAGUAGGGCUUACUUACAUUUCUACAGCUAACUGUAUCUGGGCUCUAUAAUUCUCACUCAAGGCUUUAGGGUUCAGUCCUGACUUGGGUAAUCUGGAUAAGGGCCCAGCCCUCCUGCCUUAGCUUGAUCAUCUGUAAGGUAGAGCUAUUUAAUAGCACCUCUCUUUUCACAGGGUUGGUAUGGUGACUAGCUGGUACUAGGUUUCCAGGCUUGGGUCUGAGGCCAGCCAAGGUGUGCAGCUUUUGUCGGCUCACUACACGAAUACGGUCCCACAGCGUUCCAAUGCUGCAGCGUUCACACGACAGCACCCUAGUAUCACAGCUUCCCACACCCGCUCUUUCAUCCUUACAGACCCUAUUUACUCCUUUACCAUCCUGCAGUGAAAGUCAGCAUAAUGUCACCUACCUGCCUACAUACCCUACGACAAAGGGCAAACAACGGAAUGUAUUGUAGUUCGCAUUAAAGUAAGAUGUACUUCUCUGGGACUGUGCAGACAACACAGUGAACCACUCGGGUGCUUCUGAGUUUGUUUAGAAGAGAUCAAGAACAUGAAGGAGCCGGAGGGCAGGGUGAGGCCUGGAAGGACAGUCACUCUAUUCAGUGGGCACUAAAGCUGGGCAUGUGCUUCUGCGUAACACCAGGUGGAGUUCUGGCUCUAGGUUUGUUGUCUCACACUUUUGGAGGGUGGAACGGACAGCUGUGCCUCAACCCACAUGUUCACCCGGUUCUCGGACUCCUGACUCAAGGGUCCCUGUGCGCCCACCGGUGGGCCUUUGGGCCCGGCUGGAACCAGACCUUCCCUACCUACCUCUCUGGGGCCCCACACCUUCACCCGCCAUCGGUCCCACAACCUGCUGCCGAAGGGGCCGAGGGCAGGGAGGGGUGGCCCUUCCAAAGUCUUGCAAGGUACUGGGCUGCGCCCUACCCUGCCAUGUCCUCACAAGCGUCUUGAGUACCCUGGAGACCCCAGCAGAGGGACUGGACAAGACCUCACCGAGCUCCAGGUGCCGGAGCCACAGCAAGAACGCAAUACACAGUCCCUGACUCUCCAAGCUUCCAUUCUAGCAAGGGAGAUGGAGGCUCCACAGGAAGGAGACAGUAAGGGCCCAGACGGGCAGGUGGGGAGGCAGCGGAGGACUGGCCUCGGCUACGCUGAGAGCAGGGCUGAGCAUCCCAGGGGCUGGGAGGAACGGGGGUUUUGCAGAGGCCCUAAGGUGGGAAGCACAUGGACACGAGGAGGCUGACAGGACUUGUGUCCCACAGUGAGGUGGUCACAGUAGGCCCCAGAAGUCCCCAGGGGGUCUUGGCUGGGGCUUAUUCCGAAGCUGCAUGUGGAAGCGGCAGCUGGGUGUGCAGAUACCGGGCACAUGCUGAAUCCCUCAACACAAGCAGGCUCGUGGGCCAGACCCAGCUCUGAUCACCGCCUCUGCAGGAAGCUGUGGGGCAGAUGGCAUCUAACUCCCCAGGCAGCAAAGGGCCUGGUACGGUGGGCCCAACAGUAUGGGCAGGCUGGGCUCCCACAAUGGCUAUGUUCCAUCCACUGCGCCAGGCCUGGCCAUUGAAGGGCCCCUUAUCCUCGAGCUAAAGCCUCGAGGAGAGACCGCCCACCAUCUGGAAUCCCGCAGGUCACAGCAGCCCCUCACUCCUCUCCUACAAUGAGCAGCAGGGGGGCAGGAAGUAGAACAUAGCAUGUAGCCACAUGCCUCUGCCCAGCACCCAAGUCCUCAAGGGGUCAUCUCUGUGGCCUGGAGCCUGGCUCUAGAGGUGGUCCAAGCCCUGGCCCGCCCCUUACUGCCUGUGGUAUCAGGCACGGCAUCAACUACAGCCUCAGUGUAUGUGGGGACAGUAAGCAGAUCCUGCUGACACACCAGGAGCAGGGGAAUGGAUGUGGGCCUGAAAACUUAACAGGCUUAGAAAAAAUUCCAGGGCCCUGUCCUAAAUAGCCGGGUCCCCCCUCACCCCAGAGCCCAAAUGGGUGCUGCCUGGAUGAACAAAUGAACAAACAGAUGAAACGUCAUUCUGGAAAAUGCUUACACCAACCUAAAAAACCAAACAGGGCCGCCCGAGUGGCGCAAUGGUUAAGAACUGGCUUGGGACGCCAGAGGGCCCCGGUUCGGAUCCCACAUAUG